UUAAAACUUUAGCUUUGGAGGCUCAAUUUCUCUUCUUAACAGCAUGUUUACAGUUACUCUCUACUUAUUUUCCCCUUCUAUCCUUGCAAUAGCAUCCCUAAUGUUAGCUGAAUGAAAAGUAUUAGGUUACAUACAGUUUCACAAAGGACCUAAUAUCGUAGGCUGCCAUGGCCUUCUUGAACCCUUCCCUGAUGUGAUGUGACCACUCACACCUUCCGUACUAUCAUCAUAUACCAUUGCCCUUACCCUGGGCUUUGUACAUGUGAAUUCUACUGUUGAUGUUGUAUCCACUAAUUAACACGAACAUAGGGAUGUUAUGCAUUUUAGCCACAUAGAGCCUAACUAUGUAUGCUUUGAUCAGGAUGAGCAUCAAAUUGAUAAUAUGCAUUAAUUGGUACACUAAAAGCAGUAGCACAAACGAUUUCAUAUGAAGUUAUCCUGGCCAUUCUCCUACUAUCAGUUCUCUUAAUAAACAAAUCAUUUACAUUAGCAACUUCAAUUACUACCCAAGAAUACAUAUGACUAAUUUUUCCAUCAUGAUCCUUAGCCAUAAUAUGAUUUAUUUCAACAUUAGCAGAAACUAAUCAAGCCUAAUUCAAAUUGACAGAAGGUGAGUCAGAAUUUAUAUCAGCCUUUAACGCUGAGUACACUGCAGGACGAUUUGCCCUAUGUUUCAAAGCAGAGAACAACAUAAUUGUAAUAAAUGCCCUAACCACUAUUCUUCUGCUAGGAGCACACCAUGAUAUUCAGAUACCAGAAAUUUACACAAUCAACUUCAUCAGUAAAGAAAGCUGCUCCUAUCAGGUGCGGUGAUAGCUUGCCAGCAGUCCCAGCUACUUGGGAGGCUGAGGCAGGAGGGUGGCUUGAGUUCAGGAGUUCCGGGUGUAGUGUGUUAUGCCGAUCAGGUGUCCACACUAAGUUCAGCAUCAGUAUGGUCUCCUCUUGGGAGCAGGGGACCACCAGGUUGCCUAAGGAGGGGUGAACCGGCCCAGGUUGGAAACAGAGCAGGCCAAAAUUCCCGCACUGAUCAGCAGUGGGGUCGGGGCUGUGAAUAGCCCCCGCACUCCAGCCCCGGCCACACAGCGAGACCUCUAUUUCUAUAACAGUAAAUCAAUAAAAACAAAGAAAAAAGAAAAAAUGCUUUUCCUAUCUUAUUCUUAUGAAUAAGGAUCAUACCCACUCAUGAUUCUGAUAUGAUCCACUCAUGCUCCUAAUAUGAAGUUUCUUUACCACUCUUUACCACCUUAUGCUCAUGACACAUCCAUACCUAUUUUACGAUCACAUAUUCCAUCAGAAACAUAAUGUUUCUGAUAAAAGAAUUACUUUGAUAGAGUAAAUAAUAGAGGUUUAAACCCUCUUGUUUCUAGAGUAAUAGGCAUUGAACCUAUUCUUAAGAAUUUAAAAAAAUCUCUGCACUACCUAAUUCACCAUUUUCUAUAGUAAGGUCAGCUAAAAAAAACUGUCAGGCCCAUACCGCAAAAAUAUUGGUUUAUAUUCUUCCCAUACUAAUUAGUUCCCUAAAUUUUCCACCAUUCUACCUACCCUCUUCAUAGGAAACAUAAUCACCAUAUUUAUCUCACACUGACUAAUAAUCUGAAUGGGGUUAGAAAUAAAUGUAUUAGCCCUUAUGCCCAUUUUGAUUAAAAAAGCAAAUCCAUGAUCCACAGAAAUAUUAAUAGCUCACAAAUAUUCUUAACACAAGCAACCACACCUAUACUCCUAAUAAUAGCCAUCAUCAUUAACAUAUCAGACUCUGGGCAAUGAACAAUCAUAAAAAUGCCCAGCUAAACAGCAUCCCUUGUAGUUAUCAUAGCACUGAUUACAGAACUUGGACUCUUCCCCAGUCCAUUUCUGAAUCCCAGAAGUAACACAAAGAAUUUCACUUAUAUCAGGGAAGAUCCUAUCGACAUGAUGAAAACUGGGACCAAGUUUAAUUAUAUUUCUGGUAUCAUCAUCAAUUUAUCUAAAUAUAAUAUAAAUAAACACCAUAUUAUCUAUUCUAAUAAGAGGAUGAGGAGGGCUUAAUCAAACACAGCUAUGAAAUGCCCUAGUCAUCAAUUGCACAUGUAGGCUAAAUAAUAGCUAUCCUCAUUUGUAAUCUCCCCACAAUAAUCUUAAAUUUACUAAUUUAUAUCAUUCUGGCAAUUACCAUAUUUAUAAUAUUUAGUUUAAAAAUAAAUACCACAACACUAUCACUAUCACACACAUGAAAUAAAUUACCACUAAUAACUUCUACAAUCUUUAUAACCCUAUUAUUCUUAGGAGACUUACCCUUACUUACAGGAUUUCUAUCCAAAUGAAUUAUCAUUCAAUAAUUUUUUUAAAAAGCAGCAUUAUUGUGCCAACAUUUAUAGGUAGUAUAGUAUUAUUCAACUUAUAUUUUUAUAUAUGAUUAAUCUACAUCAUUAACUAUAUUUCUAACAACUAAUGACACAAAAACAAAAUGACAAAUUGAAAAUAUAAAACAAACAUCCUUUUUCUACCAUUGCUUGGUGUACUGUCAACGUUUUCCCUCCCACUUUCAUCAAUAUUCUCAACAUUGGACUAGGAAUUUAAAUUAUAAUAAUAGAUAGACCAAGAACCUUUAAAGCCCUAA